AUGCAGCUCUGGGAAGGAAUGAGGAGGAUAUGGCCAAUCCCAAGCAACAAAUGUCUAGUAAAUACUGGGGAGGAAUGGGUGCUCAAUGUCCGAGCAAACUGCACUGAGAGGGUACAUGACAUGGUGCUGAUUUUAAUAUGGAGAGUAUGGAAUUUGCAGAUCGAUUUAUUGCAUGGAAAGGACCAAGUUCUAGUAAAAAUCUCAGCCAACUUCUUCAAUAGCUAUUUGAACUCUUUAUGGCAUGCAAAAAAGUAUAAUAUGGAGGAGGUGAUCAAAGGUAAAAUGGUAGAGAGAGUGGGGUGGUCAAAACCCAAGAACAAGGAAACUGCGUCGGCCAGACCAUGGCCUGCUCCUGCUGCAGGAUGGGUCGCCCUUUCGGUUGAUGGAUCAUUAUCCUCAGAGGGGACUGCAGGUUCAAGGAUGGUCCUGAGGAAUCCGGAUAGAAGCUUGAUUUUUGCUGCUUAUCGGCACCUCUUUUUCUACAACGAAGUCCUCGAAGUGGAACUACAUGCAAUUAGGGAGGGUCUAGCGCUAGCUUUGGAGCGACCAGACCUUCCCAUGGUAAUCCAAUCUGACUCUUCGAUGAUGCUUUCUUCAUUGUCCUCAGAUAUUCUUGAUCGAUCGGCUUAUGGUCAUUUAGUCAUGGAGAUUAAGCACCUCUUAACUGGUAGAGAGUUUUUUCCCAUGAAAAUUUCUAGAGAUCAAAACAGAGAGUAG
rnacentral:rRNA from 1 species